UACGGAGGAUCCAAGCGUUAUCCGGAUUUAUUGGGUUUAAAGGGUGCGUAGGCGGCCUAUUAAGUCAGGGGUGAAAGACGGUGGCUCAACCAUCGCAGUGCCUUUGAUACUGAUGGGCUUGAUUACACUAGAGGUAGGCGGAAUGUGACAAGUAGCGGUGAAAUGCAUAGAUAUGUCACAGAACACCGAUUGCGAAGGCAGCUUACUAUGGUGCAAAUGACGCUGAGGCACGAAAGCGUGGGGAUCAAACAGG
rnacentral:rRNA from 1 species